GGAGAGUUGGCAGAGCCCGGUUUAAUGCACCUGACUUGAAAUCAGACGAAGAGUCAAAUCUUCCAGAGGUUCGAAUCCUCUACUCUCCGCCA
rnacentral:tRNA from 1 species